GAUGAACGCUAGCGGCAGGCCUAAUACAUGCAAGUCGAACGAGAUUAAGAGGCUUGCUUCUUAUGAAAGUGGCGCACGGGUGCGUAACGCGUAUGCAACCUACCUUAAUCAGGGGGAUAGCCCGAAGAAAUUCGGAUUAAGACCGCAUAAAAACACAGGAUAGCAUUAUCCAAUGUUCAAAUAUUUAUAGGAUUAAGAUGGGCAUGCGUGUCAUUAGCUAGUUGGCGGGGUAACGGCCCACCAAGGCGACGAUGACUAGGGGAUCUGAGAGGAUGACCCCCCACAAUGGUACUGAGACACGGACCAGACUGCUACGGGAGGCAGCAGUAAGGAAUAUUGGUCAAUGGAGGGAACUCUGAACCAGCCAUGCCGCGUGCAGGAAGACAGCCCUCUGGGUCGUAAACUGCUUUUAUUCGGGAAUAAACCUUUCUACGUGUAGGAAGCUGAAUGUACCGAAGGAAUAAGGAUCGGCUAACUCCGUG
rnacentral:rRNA from 1 species